UCUUCCACAGCAAUCACAACUCAAUACAGGACUAGAAACGGAAUUCACAUUACCCAGCUUACCGAAUAUUUUUACUAGAGAAUCAACCUUGGCAUUCAACAUGUUUAUGCCAUCUACAUCAUACAUACCUGAAACUUUCUUAGGCAUACCUCUUUCAUUAGACCACUGAUAAUUGUUAGAGGCCAUUUCUUCUAACAACUCAUAUGCCUCUUCUGUUGACUUACUCAUUAAAGUACCUCCUGCAG
rnacentral:lncRNA from 1 species